rnacentral:rRNA from 1 species
ACGGAGCAUCGGCAAUGAAUGUUUUGGCUCAGUAAAUGAGAAAGGACGCAGCCAAUUGUGGUUCACAACUUGACUUGCAGUAUUCCGUGAAGUGUUGACAGUUGAAGGCCUGAUGCACUCUUGGGACAGUCCGAAAGGUGUGCCCAAUUUGAAGUGAGA